UCGAGUGGGUUUAGACCCACGGCAGACGAGGUAGGAACACGUAGGUAUGUACCAGAAAGUCAGGGAUAAUCCGGCGAAAGUCGGAACAAUACUUGAUAGUCCCUUCGGGGUGAAGAUUUAUCGCUUUCUGAACGGCCUGCGGUCUAUCAGCUUGUUGGUACGGUAACGGCGUACCAAGGCGACGACGGAUAGGGGAGGUGAGAGCCUGACCCCCACCGAUGGAACUGCGACACGGUCCAUACUCCUACGGGAGGCCGCAGUCGAGAAUCUUCCGCAAUGGACGAAAGUCUGACGGAGCGACGCCGCGUGGUGGAUGAAGUCCCUAGGGACGUAAACACCUUUUAUGAGGGAGGAAGUGUAUUGACGUUACCUCAUGAAUAAGGGGCUCCCAAUUCUGUGCCAGCAGGAGCGGUAAUACAGAAGCCCCGAGCGUUACCCGGAUUCACUGGGCGUAAAGGGUGCGUAGGCGGUUAUAUUAGUCGGAUGUUAAAUCGUGGGGCUCAACCUCACGCUCGCAUUCGAAACGGUAUGACUUGAAGACGUGAGAGGUUCAGAGAACUCUCGGUGUAGGGGUGAAAUCCGUUGAUAUCGAGGGGAAUACCAAAUGCGAAGGCACUGAACUGGCACGUUCUUGACGCUGAGGCACGAAAGCGUGGGUAGCGAACGGGAUUA
rnacentral:rRNA from 1 species